CCUACGGGAGGCAGCAGUGAGGAAUAUUGGUCAAUGGGCGCGAGCCUGAACCAGCCAAGUCGCGUGAGGGAGGACGGCCCUACGGGUUGUAAACCUCUUUUGCCGGGGAGCAACGGGCGCCACGUGUGGCGUCACUGAGAGUACCCGGAGAAAAAGCAUCGGCUAACUCCGUGCCAGCAGCCGCGUUAAUACGGAGGUUGCGAGCGUUAUCCGUAUUUAUUGGGUUUAAAGGGUGCGUAGGCGGAGCGUUAAGUCAGUGGUCAAAUUGAGGGGCUCACCCCCUUCCCGCCAUUGAAACUGGCGUGCUAGAGUGGAAGAGAGGUAUGCGGAAUGCGUGGUGUAGCGGUGAAAUGCAUAGAUAUCACGCAGAACCCCGAUGGCGAAGGCAGCAUGCCGGCUUCCGACUGACGCUGAAGCACGAAAGCGUGGGGAUCGAACAGGAUUAGAUACCCGUGUAGUC
rnacentral:rRNA from 1 species